rnacentral:rRNA from 1 species
AACUCAAAGGAAUUGACGGGGGCCCGCACAAGCGGUGGAGCAUGUGGUUUAAUUGGAAGCAACGCGAAGAACCUUACCAGGUCUUGACAUCUUUUGACAAUCCUAGAGAUAGGACGUCCCCUUCGGGGGCAGAGUGACAGGUGGUGCAUGGUUGUCGUCAGCUCGUGUCGUGAGAUGUUGGGUUAAGUCCCGCAACGAGCGCAACCCUUGAUCUUAGUUGCCAGCAUUCAGUUGGGCACUUUAAGGUGACUGCCGGUGACAAACCGGAGGAAGGUGGGGAGGACGUCAAAUCAUCAUGCCCCUUAUGACCUGGGCUACACACGUGCUACAAUGGGCAGAACAAAGGGCAGGGAAACCGCGAGGUUAAGCCAAUCCCACAAAUCUGUUCUCAGUUCGGAUCGCAGUCUGCAACUCGACUGCGUGAAGCUGGAAUCGCUAGUAAUCGCGGAUCAGCAUGCCGCGGUGAAUACGUUCCCGGGCCUUGUACACCCCGCCCGUCACCCCACGAGAGUUUGUAACACCCGAAGUCGGUGAGGUA